CCUACGGGAGGCAGCAGUGGGGAAUAUUACACAAUGGGGGAAACCCUGAUGCAGCGACGCCGCGUGAGUGAAGAAGUAAUUCUUUAUUUAAAGCUCUAUCAGCAGGGAAGAAAAUGACGGUACCUGAGUAAGAAGCCCCGGCUAACUACGUGCCAGCAGCCGCGGUAAUACGUAGGGGGCCAGCGUUAUCCGGAUUUACUGGGGGGAAAGGGAGCGUAGACGGCAGUGCAAGGCUGGAGGGAAAGGCGGGGGCUCAACCCCCGGACUGCUCUGGAAACUGUACGGCUGGAGUGCAGGAGAGGCAAGUGGAAUUCCUAGUGUAGCGGUGAAAUGCGUAGAUAUUAGGAGGAACACCAGUGGCGAAGGCGGCUUACUGGGCUGUAACUGACGUUGAGGCUCGAAAGUGUGGGGAGCAAACAGGAUUAGAUACCCGUGUAGUC
rnacentral:rRNA from 1 species